UGUUUCUGAGAAAUGUGGGUAUGGAG
rnacentral:piRNA from 1 species